UUCUAAUGCACCAUUUUCCAAUUUUCAUAUCUUUUGAUCUUGAGCUCGGAUUGAUAUGGUUCCUUCGACAAAGUUCUAGAUCGUGUUGAGGGCUACAUCUUGGUAUUUUUUUUCGUGAUUUUAGCCUCAACAUAAAAUGAGAUUUGAGCCA